rnacentral:rRNA from 1 species
UACGGGGGGGGCAAGCGUUGUUCGGAAUUACUGGGCGUAAAGGGCGCGUAGGCGGCCUACUAAGUCGGACGUGAAAUCCCUCGGCUUAACCGGGGAACUGCGUCUGAUACUGGAUGGCUAGAGUUUGGGAGAGGGAUGCGGAAUUCCAGGUGUAGCGGUGAAAUGCGUAGAUAUCUGGAGGAACACCGGUGGCGAAGGCGGCAUCCUGGACCGGCAUUGACGCUGAGGCGCGAAAGCCAGGGGAGCAAACGGGG